UACGUAGGGCGCAAGCGUUGUCCGGAAUUAUUGGGCGUAAAGAGCUCGUAGGCGGUUUGUCGCGUCUGCUGUGAAAACCUAAGGCUCAACCUUGGGCUUGCAGUGGGUACGGGCAGACUAGAGUGCGGUAGGGGGUGACUGGAAUUCCUGGUGUAGCGGUGGAAUGCGCAGAUAUCAGGAAGAACACCAAUGGCGAAAGCAGCUUUCUGGGGACGGUACUGACGCUGAGACGCGAAAGCGUGGGGAGCGAACAGG
rnacentral:rRNA from 1 species